CCCCCGUACUGUGAUCCCCUCUAUCUCGCCGCUGGAACGCACCGCCUGGAGUAGGGGUUCCAGGGAAAGGGCAAAUAGCAGGGGUGAUAAGGGGCAUCCCUGGCGCGUGCCAUUAGUAAUGGGGAAUCAUGGGGGUGGUAUGUUGGGCAGCAGGUGGUAUGUUGGGCACCCUUGGGGGGCAUGGUAUACUGCAUGUAAGAAUGAGGUGAAUUCCGGCGGUAGGACUAUGUAAGAACGGCCAUGUUAGGUGAUCAAAGGCCUUUUCUGCGUCAAGUGAGAUGACUGCUGUUGGGAUACGUCUAUUGUUGGCUAGCCAUAUGAGGUCUAUGGCCCUGCGGGUGUUAUCCGCGGCCUGUCUGUGGGGGAUAAAUCCCACCUGAUCUGGGUGGAUGAGUGAUCCCAAAUACGGGUUUAAUCUAUUAGCCAUGACCUUGGUCAUGAGUUUGAGGUCGACAUUGAGUAGUGAGAUCGGCCUAUUGUGGGCGGGUUCUAAAUUAUCCUUUCCCAGUUUGGGUAGGAGACAGAAAUGUGCGCUAGUCAUUUGAGGUGGGAGAGUUUCCCCUCUAAGUGUUGCAUUAAACACUGUGCAGAGGUGGGGUAGCAGUAGGGGGCUAAAUUCUUUGUAAUAUAGUGCUGAGUAGCCAUCGGGUCCUGGGCUCUUGUUGGGUUUAAAGGAUCCUAGGGCCAAUGUCAUCUCCUCCACCGUUACUUCUUGUCCUAUUGCGGCUUUGGCCUCUUGAGACAUGGAAGGGAGUGCCAAGUUCUGCAAGAACUUGUCAAUUCGAGCGUGAAGGGAGUCUAUGUUGUGUAGGGGCUGCCGGGUGUGAUUGUAG